rnacentral:rRNA from 1 species
AGUAGGGCAAAGCCAGAGGAAACUCUGGUGGAGGCUCGUAGCGGUGCUGACGUGCAAAUCGCUCGUCAAACUUGAGUAUAGGGGCGAAAGACUAAUCGAACCAUCUAGUAGCUGGUUUCCUCCGAAGUUUCUCUCAGGAUAGCAGGCCUAAAUAUUAUGAUUGUUGUGUGUGGUAAAGCGAAUGAUUAGCAUACUCGGGGUCGUUUAGACUCUGGAUGAUUCUCAAACUUUAAAUGCGCACGGAUGUUGCCGCUUGGGUGGGCGGCAUCUCUAAAAACUUGGGCUUUGUGGGCCACUUUUGGUAAGCAGAACUGGCGAUACGGGAUGAACCGUAAGUGUGGUUAAGGCGUCAAAUUGUCCGAUUAUAGAUUCCAAAAAAGGUGUUGAUUCAUCGAGACAGCAGGACGGUGGCCAUGGAAGUCGGAAUCCGCUAAGGAGUGUGUAACAACUCACCUGCCGAAUGAAUUAGCCCUGAAAAUGGAUGACGCUAAAGCGGGCAGCCGACACCACACCGUUUGGGCAAAAUAUACGUUUAAAUGAGUAGGAGGAACGUGGCGGUCGUAUCGAAGCGUGCGUGCAAACGUGCGUGGAACGGCCGCUAGUGCAGAUCUUGGUGUUAGUAGCAAAUAUUCAAAUGAGAACCUUGAAGGGCGAAGCGGGGAAGGGUUCCACGCGAACAUUGAUUGAGCGUGGGUAAGUCGUUCCUAAGCCGCGUGGCAAUAGCUAAUUACCGGCGAAAGGGAAGCAGGUUGAUAUUCCUGCACACGGAUGUGGAAGCGGUGACGCAUACUUGGGACGGUGAAGCUGGCGAUAGCUCUGGGCAGAGUUUUCUUUUCUGUUUAACUGACUGUGCUCGCAGUGUGGAAUCCGCUUGUCGGGAGAAACACGCGGGUUUGGGAAUAGCGCCGGGUUUUUUUCCGGCGUCCAGAACGCUAUCGUCGGACCUUGAAAAACUGUCUGCAGGCGAUUUUAAAUUGUACUUAUG